AAUAGAUACCCUGGUAGUCCACGCCGUAAACGAUGUGUGCUAGAAGUCGGGAUAACUCGGUUUCGAAGCUAACGCAUUAAGCACACCGCCUGGGGAGUACGGUCGCAAGGCUGGAACUCAAAGGAAUUGACGGGGACCCGCACAAGUAGUGGAGCAUGUGGUUUAAUUCGAUGCAACGCGAUGAACCUUACCAAGACUUGACAUACUCGGCAAAGCUAUAGAGAUAUAGUGGAGGUUAUCCGAUGUACAGGUGGUGCAUGGUUGUCGUCAGCUCGUGUCGUGAGAUGUUGGGUUAAGUCCCGCAACGAGCGCAACCCCUACCUUUAUUUGCUAACAUUAAGUUGAGGACUAUAGAGAGACUGCCUACGCAAGUAGGAGGAAGGUGGGGAUGACGUCAAAUCAUCAUGCCCCUUAUGUCUUGGGCUACACACGUGCUACAAUGGCCGGUACAAAGGGCUGCAAACUGGUGACAGUAAGCGAAUCCCAUAAAGCCGGUCUAAGUUCGGAUUGAAGUCUGCAACUCGACUU
rnacentral:rRNA from 1 species